UGCCUUACAUCCCUGAGAUAAAAUGAUC
rnacentral:piRNA from 1 species